rnacentral:rRNA from 1 species
GACGAACCGUCCAAACGUUAUUCGGAAUCACUGGGCUUACAGAGUUCGUAGGCGGUCUGGAAAGUUGGGUGUGAAAUCCCUCGGCCUAACCGAGGAACUGCGCUUGAAACUACCAGACUCGAGGGAGAUAGAGGAAAGCGGAACUGAUGGUGGAGCGGUGAAAUGCGUUGAUAUCAUCAGGAACACCGGUGGCGAAGGCGGCUUCUGGGUCGUUUACCUGACGC